GGGCAAUGUAUCUAGCGCAACACGUUAACCCGAGCUGUUGCAUAGGUACAUUGGUCAGU
rnacentral:pre_miRNA from 1 species